AGCGCAGGCGGAAAAAUAAGUCUAAUGUGAAAGCCCUCGGCUUAACCGAGGAACUGCAUCGGAAACUGUUUUUCUUGAGUGCAGAAGAGGAGAGUGGAACUCCAUGUGUAGCGGUGGAAUGCGUAGAUAUAUGGAAGAACACCAGUGGCGAAGGCGGCUCUCUGGUCUGCAACUGACGCUGAGGCUCGAAAGCAUGGGUAGCGAACA
rnacentral:rRNA from 1 species